rnacentral:rRNA from 1 species
GAUGAACGCUGGCGGCGUGCCUAAUACAUGCAAGUCGAGCGAAAGGACAAUAAGCUCGUUCCCUUGCUGUUAGCGGCGGGCGGGCGAGUAACAAAUAGAUCACCUUCUUCUUAGUCUGGGAUAACUACGGAAAAACGGAGCUACUAACAGCUCAUAUUUUGAACCGCUUGAAUCAAAAGUGAAUGACGGUCUUGCCGUCACAAUUAGCUGGUUCCGCGCUGGAUUAGCUAGUUGGUAAGGUAACGGCUUACCAAGGCGACGAUGCAUAGCCGACCUGAGAGGAUGAUCGGCCACACUGGAACUGAGACACGGUCCAGACUCCUACGGGAGGCAGCAGUAGGGAAUCUUCGGCAAUGGGCGAAAGCCUGACGCAGCAAUACCGCGUGGGUGAAGAAGGUCUUCGGAUCGUAAAGCCCUGUUAUUAGGGAAGAACAGAUGUGGAUGAAACCGUGCAUGUCUUGACGGUACCUAAUCAGAAAGCCACGGCUAACUACGUG